GGCUAAUGGAACGUGAAGUAUGGACUUUUUCGACCGAAAAUACAUCUGUUGUGGACCUGGGAUGCUUUCUGAUGAAGACAACUAAAGAUACACAACUGAGAGCAUCCUGUCGGCCUGUAUCACCGCCUGGUACGGCAACUGCACCGCCCGCAACCGCAGGGCUCUCCAGAGGGUGGUGUGGUCUGCCCAACGCAUCACCGGGGCAAACUAUCUGCCCUCCAGGACACCUACAGCACCCAAUGUCACAGGAAGACCAAAAAGAUAAUCAAGGACAACGACCACCCGGCCCCCUACCUGUUCACCCCGUUAUCAUCCAGAAGGCGAGACCCUCAACUCAAACUCCAUAUCAGAGCUGUGAGUCAGAGAGAGAGAAACACAGUCACGUAUACAGUUGAAUUCGGAAGUUUACAAACACCUAAGCCAAAUACAUUUGAACUCAGUUUUUCACAAUUCCUGACAUUUAAUCCUAGGAAAAAUUCCUUGUCUUAGGUCAGUUAGGAUCACCACUUUUUUUUAAGAAUGUGAAAUGUCAGAAUAAUAGUAGAGGGAAUUAUUUAUUUCAGCUUUCAUUUCUUUCAUCACAUUCCCAGUGGGUCAGAAGUUUACAUACACUCAAUUAGUAUUUGGUAGCAUUGCCUUUAAAUUUUGGGUCAAACGUUUUGGGUAGCCUUCCACAAGCUUCCCACAAUAAGUUG
rnacentral:lncRNA from 1 species